rfam:Tauraco erythrolophus contig132281, whole genome shotgun sequence.
CAGAGAAUAGUUUAAUUUAAAAUGCCAGCUUUGGGAGCUGGGGUUAGAGGUUUGAAUCCUCUUUCUUUGA